AUUGAACGCUGGCGGAAUGCUUUACACAUGCAAGUCGAACGGCAGCACGGACUUCGGUCUGGUGGCGAGUGGCGAACGGGUGAGUAAUACAUCGGAACGUGCCCAAUCGUGGGGGAUAACGUAGCGAAAGCUACGCUAAUACCGCAUACGAUCUAAGGAUGAAAGCGGGGGAUCGCAAGACCUCGCGCGAUUGGAGCGGCCGAUGGCUGAUUAGGUAGUUGGUAGGGUAAAGGCCGGCCAAGCCGCCGAUCUGUAGCUGGUCUGAGAGGAUGAUCAGCCACACUGGGACUGAGACACGGCCCAGACUCCUACGGGAGGCAGCAGUGGGGAAUUUUGGACAAUGGACGCAAGUCUGAUCCAGCCAUUCCGCGUGCAGGAUGAAGGCCCUCGGGUUGUAAACUGCUUUUGUACAGAACGAAAAGGCUCUGGUUAAUACCUAGGGCUCAUGACGGUACUGUAAGAAUAAGCACCGGCUAACUACGUGCCAGCCGCCGCAGUAA
rnacentral:rRNA from 1 species